CCCACCCCACCCCCGUGUGACUGGCCCAGCCGGCCUCCUCUGGGUCUCUAGUAGUUUCCGUGCAGCUGACGCAUGCUUGCGCGCACAGCUGGGCCGGGCGCGUCCUACGCAGCAGCCGCGAGCCGGGCAGCGGGUGCCAGACGGUUCCCGGCGGGGGGCAGGGGCGGGGCGCCGCAGGAGCUCAGGGACUCCAGGCGGAGGAGCCCCAAGGAGGCCCGCCUGACUACUGACGAGUUGCCAUGGCAUCCUACUACGAGAUCCUAGACGUGCCGCGAAGUGCGUCCGCUGAUGACAUCAAGAAGGCGUAUCGUCGGAAGGCUCUACAGUGGCACCCAGACAAGAAUCCAGAGAAUAAAGAGUUUGCCGAGAGGAAGUUCAAGGAGGUGGCCGAGGCAUAUGAAGUGCUGUCGGACAAGCAUAAGCGAGAGGUCUAUGACCGCUAUGGCCGGGAAGGGCUGACUGGAGCAGGAACUGGCCCAUCUCGGGCGGAAGCUGGCAGUGGUGGGCCUGGCUUCACCUUUACCUUUCGCAGCCCUGAGGAGGUCUUCCGGGAAUUCUUCGGGAGUGGAGACCCUUUUUCAGAGCUCUUUGACGACCUGGGUCCUUUCUCAGAGCUCCAGAACCGGGGUUCCCGACACUCGGGCCCCUUCUUCACCUUCUCUUCCUCCUUCCCUGGACACUCUGAUUUCUCUUCCUCAUCUUUCUCCUUCAGUCCUGGGGCUGGUGCUUUUCGCUCUGUUUCUACGUCCACCACCUUUGUCCAAGGACGCCAAAUCACGACGCGCAGAAUCAUGGAGAACGGGCAGGAACGGGUGGAAGUGGAGGAGGACGGGCAGCUGAAGUCAGUCACAAUCAAUGGUGUUCCAGAUGACCUGGCGCUGGGCUUGGAGCUGAGCCGUCGUGAGCAGCAACAGUCCGUCACCCCUAGAUCCAGGGGCAUGCAGGUGCGGCAGACUCCUGCCUCACGCCCCUCCGACAGCGACCUCUCUGAGGAUGAUGAGGACCUGCAGCUUGCCAUGGCUUACAGCCUGUCAGAGAUGGAGGCAGCUGGGAAGAAUCCGGCAGGUGGGCGGGAGGUGCAGCGUCGAUGGCUGGGGCUGCUCAAGGCCCAGUACCACGAUCCGGGCAUGGGGGGUACCCAUGAGGGCGCAAGGGGUGAGGCAGCCAAACCCAGCUCAGCCCCGGAGGAGAAGGCCUCUCGCUGCCUCAUCCUCUGAUCGCCAGGCCCAACCCACCCCGAUUCAGGCUGACCUGGGGUCCUGCUUGCUGUUGGGAGAGCAGAGAGGGGUUUAUUAGAUGGGGGGUUUCUAAGGGGCAUCAGUGGUUUGAGGCGGGCCUUUUGUGCCCAGGUCUUCUGCCACCUGUGUUGCUGAUGAUGUCAAGGAAGGAGGACUUGGCCUGGGGUUCUCUGAGCCUGAAUUAGCAGCUACAGUGGGGAGUCUCAGCUCUCCUGGUCCAGCUGCAGACACCCCACCCUGGUUUCUGUGCAGUGUUGAGCUCUGACCGUCUCUGUUGCUUCCCUUCUGGUGCUGCUUCUCCUUCCUCACACUCUCCUCUCUGCAAGUCCCCGUGGGCCGCACCGCUUGCUUUCACUGCCGUCUGGCUAGGACUCCCUUCUUCCUUCUCUGAGAAGGCCUCAGUGUGGCGAGGAAGAUACUGUGGCCGAUAGGGCCAUAAGGUCUUCCGGGGAGGCUAGCUGGGUGGGGCGGGAGCCUCUCUGCCGUCCAGAUUCGGAACCGGAGCCCACUCCUCCUCCCUUCCUCUCGCUGCCUCAGCCUCAGGACUAGGCAGAGAUGUGUUCUGAGCUGGAUGUCCGGGAUCCAGAGUUGCUGCACAGUUCCAACAGGACAGCGCCCACCUCUGUGCGCUGGGAAGGGGACCCUCCAUUCCUCACCCUCACCCGUGCAGAGCAUAGAGCUGGGCCUGGGUGGUGGGUGGGGACUAGGCGGGAAGUGUCAGUAGUCUUAGCUUGUAAACUCUUACCUGGGUGUUUGAUAUUGUCUCUUGGGGACUACAAGUCCCAGAAUGCAAUGUACUAUGCCUCAUUUCUGAUUGAUCAUGCUUGGAGGAAGUGGUUCUUGGUUGUGGAGCUGUGCAUCUUGGGACAUGUAGUUCUAGCCCAGGUUGGCCUGUUACUCGCUGUGAGAUGUGGAGAUCUUACCAUCUGAUUUGUCCCUGGCAGGGGUGGUGAGAAUGUGGAUGAAGGGGUAAUGGCCCGAGCUUCCAUUCCCUUGACGUCUCUUGCUAGCGCUGGGGUUAGAGUGUGCAAAACAAACCCUUGUGGUAUCCGGGUGAAGCUCUUUUCCUGUGGGCAGUACUAGGGUCUGGGGAACAAAUUUGGGCAAGAUGCUAAGCAGGGUGUAGACCCAGAAAGCUGAUGGGGUUGGCCGGCAGAGAGCUUGAAAGAAAGGACCUGUGUGUGUGUGUGUGGCUGGGAUUGGCAUGUGACACGUCCUCUGGGCAUGUUGCUGCUUAUAUGGCUUUUUUGGCCUCUGACCCUGAUACCCAUUCUCUCUCCAACACCACAGCUGAGCUGCCUCUCCUCCUCCCUGCCUGGGGAGCCCAGUAGCCAGGGAGGGGAGUGGUGGAGCCAGGAUGUUGGCAGAUCCUAUGACACUAUCUCAGACCUAUCAAAGCCAGCUGGGCUGAGCUCAGAUCAGAGGGAAACACUGGAAGUCAAUAAAGCUGAGUUUUGAGA